rnacentral:rRNA from 1 species
UAGUACGAGAGGACCGGGAUGGACCGACCUAUGGUGUACCAGUUGUUUCGCCAGAAGCAUAGCUGGGUAGCUAAGUCGGGACGGGAUAAACGCUGAAAGCAUCUAAGCGUGAAGCCUCCUUCAAGAUUAGAUUUCCCAUAGCGUAAGCUAGUAAGACCCCUUGAAGACUACAAGGUUGAUAGGUCAGAGGUGUAAGUGUGGCAACAUAUUUAGCUGACUGAUACUAAUAGGUCGAGGGCUUGACCAAU